UCGUUCGAUCACCGAAGUUAAGCAUCAUUGGGCGCGGUCAGUACUUGGGUGGGUGACCACCUGGGAACACUGCGUGCCGUU